ACACCUCAACUCUCAUGGUUCGCCGUGAUGAGCUUGGACUUUGGGGGUUUUGCUGGCCCUGUGGGUUGGCUCCUCUCAAAUGAAUCAGCUUGCCAGUGUUUGGUGGCAUCACAGGUGUGAUAACUAUCUACGCUUGUGGUUUUCCACCAGGUAACCUUCAGUGAAUGGAGGUUCGCUGGGGCUCAUAGACGUCUCUCCUCAGUGAGGACAGCUCUUUGAAC
rnacentral:misc_RNA from 1 species